GUUAUUUUACGAUCUAACAAUAUACAAGGCGAUGGAAAACAAGAUUUCUUAACAACACAAAAUAUUGAGUUUGAUAGUAAGAUAUGAGCAGUUACAGAUGAGUAUGAAUAAAAUCGGAACGGAUGGAGCAAGUAUUAGAGAAAAUGGAAACCCUAGUUGCAGAGAGAGAGAGAAAGUAACGGAAGAUUGUAAAAGAAGAAGAACAAUUGAAUUGUUUGGUGACAGUUAAUUUUUUUUUUUUUUUUGGAAAUGCUAAAUAGUAAGAAUUCAAAUCCUAUAUUACUCA
rnacentral:lncRNA from 1 species